AUAAACUCUAUACACUAUAAAUAGAUAAGAUCGUAUUCUAUAUUUUACAUGAAAAGAGGAAAAAAUAUGAGUAAAAUUCUCAAGUUUAUUUAUGCUACUUUAGUUCUUUACUUAUUUCUUGUUGUAACGAAAGCUAGCGACGAUGAAUGUAAAAUUGAUGGUGAUUGUCCAAUAUCUUGGCAGAAGUUUCAUACUUAUAAAUGCAUUAAUCAGAAGUGCAAAUGGGUUUUAAGGUUUCAUGAGUACUAGACCUAUAACAGUAUAAAUACACACUACAUAUGAUAAUGAGUUAGUGUGCUAGUGAAAUAAAUGUGUAAUAUAUUUUAUGAUAGAAUAUUUUAUGAACUGUAAUUUAGUUAUUGUAUUAGCAUCUGAUACUAGUGUUGUUUUCUUUUCCUAAUUUCUUGAACCUUGUAUUUAUGAAUUUUUAAAUUUUUUUUUUUACUUUAAGAUGAUGGUAAUUAAGGCAAUAAAGAAUUUUAUUUA